rnacentral:rRNA from 1 species
UACAGAGGUCUCGAGCGUUGUUCGGAUUCAUUGGGCGUAAAGGGUGCGUAGGUGGCGCUGUAAGUCGGGUGUGAAAUCCUGAGGCUUAACCUCGGAACUGCAUUCGAUACUGCGGUGCUUGAGGACUGGAGAGGAGACUGGAAUUCAUGGUGUAGCAGUGAAAUGCGUAGAGAUCAUGAGGAAGGCCAGUGGCGAAGGCGGGUCUCUGGACAGUUCCUGACACUGAGGCACGAAGGCCAGGGGAGCAAACGGG